rnacentral:rRNA from 1 species
CCUACGGGGGGCAGCAGUGAGGAAUAUUGGUCAAUGGCCGGAAGGCUGAACCAGCCAUGCCGCGUGAAGGUCAGUGCCCUAUGGGCGUUAAACUUCUUUUGUGCGGGAGCAAUAAUGGUCACGUGUGGCCAGACGAGAGUACCGUACGAAUAAGCAUCGGCUAACUCCGUGCCAGCAGCCGCGGUAAUACGGGGGAUGCAAGCGUUAUCCGGAUUUAUUGGGUUUAAAGGGUGCGGAGGGUGGGAGGUAAGUCAGCGGUGAAAUGCCGCCGCUCAACGGGGUGAAGUGCCAUUGAUACUGCCUGGCUGGAAUGCGGAUGCCGUGGGAGGAAUGUGUGGUGUAGCGGUGAAAUGCAUAGAUAUCACACAGAACACCGAUUGCGAAGGCAUCUCACGAAUCCGCGAUUGACGCUGAUGCACGAAAGCGUGGGUAUCAAACAGGAUUAGAUACCCUGGUAGUC